CGCGAGGAUUUAACCUCUCGAGGCCAUGAGGAAAAUAUCUAUCGCGUUUGAUAUUUUUCGCCUCGCGAGGAAAAAAUCUCAGCGUCUGCAUGCGGAUGUUGUGAGCUAAGUGCUGAGCUGUUUGAAUCAAUUAGCCAAUGACAAACCACGAUUACUUCAUGUGACUUGGAACAAAAUGGAGGAAAAUGCAAAUGAUUUUGUCAAUUAUGUUGUUGUUGAGUAGUUUUCCCAACGUGUGCGGUGAAAAUACAUAGCCGAGCUAGCUACCUCGCGAGUUGUUGCUCUCGUGUGCGGCGGGCUUAAGGUCUCUAUAGUCAAACGGAAUAUAUCAAACGGAAGCUUUCUUUCUAUCGUGGUUUGUAUCUAGUGUGUCUGAAUUUAGUGAAUGACCCGAAAUAGAUUAAAACAACUAAUUUGUCUUCUAAGCGACUAAGCCAAGGCCUUUUGUGCAGAGGUUUAAUUAAUAAUAGGUUCUCCAUUUGACAACGAAGUAAUUUCAAUCUUCUUCUAGUAGCUCAAACACAAAUUGACAUCUACAAUAAUUUUCACGUGUUGGGACAGAUUUGAACGGGUUGGGACAAAUCCCAAACUAUACGUAUUAUUUUGAAGACCUAUUAUUUUGAAGACCUUCGAAUUCGUCCCCCCCCUCUCUCUCCCUUGUUCAAUAGUCGCAACUUUGCAAGAACAUUGAAGAUUUUCAAAUGCUUUCGAAACCGACUAUUUCCAAGCUGGGAAAGAUAUGAGGAAACUGAUGAAGAUUUUCACAUGUUUUCUCAACAAUGUUCCCCAGAGUCAAAAUCACACGCGUAAAAACAAACGACGUGUUUCCGGUCAAGAUACGGACAGGCUUCAAUAAGGUUUUGCUGUGCAACCUCAGAACAAGUUGUCAACAAUGUUGUUACAGCAUUGUUCAGUUGUAAGGCCUGUUUCAUACGUCGCACUAUCGUCGAAUUAAAUUCAGACAAAUUUCAAAUUGAACGAAUUAUAAUGCGACGGUAGUGCAUCGUAUGAAACGAAUUAAAUUCGUCCAAGACGUUUUAUUCGUCAUGGUCAGACGGAUACAACGUCUGUAGCGCGCGUCUUCGUUUCAUACGACGUCGUAUCGUCGUGUCAAAUUAAAUGCAUAAAUUAUGUUAAAAUCUGUUUCUGUCUUUCUGAUUCCGUUGUAUUUAUUUCUGGGUAAUCCAUAAUCUCCAAUCAUGAAGUGAAUUCGUCUGAAUUAAAUUCGUCAGUUUGCAACGAAACCAUUUUAAGUCUUUUAAUGUCGACCAAUUGGCGAAUUUAAUGACGAAUUAAAUUGGACGUAUGAAACAAGCAUGAGGUCAGUUAAAAUUUCCUAGUUAAUUAACGUAGAAAUAACACUAUACUUAAUCUCACAAACUAAAGUAUUACUGUUCACAUACACAUGUUGGCGUCUUUGUCUCCCCCCCCCCCCC